rnacentral:lncRNA from 1 species
UUACCUCAAAAGAGGACUGAAUACUAAAUUGUGAGGUAACAGACUUCUCUUCUUCUUUCUCUCUAUAAUUUCUCUCUAUAAUAAUUGUUCUAUAGCUUUAGUGAAUUGGUGAAAAAUAAUGAAGGAAUGAGCUUCUAUUUAUAGGAAAAUAUAGUUUCGAUAAUUGCACGUUUUGGGGCUCAAAAUAUUACAAUAUAAUACCUUCCUUUUUUCCUUCAUUUUUAAUUUAG